GUGCUUGCUUCAGCAGCACAAAUUCUAAGAUUGGACUGAUACAGAGAAGAUUAACAUGGCCCUUGCACAAAGACAUGCAAAUUUUUGAAAGGUAAAAAAUAUAU